UACAGAGGGUGCGAGCGUUGUUCGGAAUUACUGGGCGUAAAGCGCGCGCAGGCGGCUUCUUAAGUCCAUCGGUGAAAUGCCGGGGCUCAACCCCGAGCCGGCCGAGGAUACUGGGAGGCUGGAGACGAGUAGAGGCAAGCGGAAUUCCGGGUGUAGCGGUGGAAUGCGUAGAGAUCCGGAAGAACACCGGAGGCGAAGGCGGCUUGCUGGGCUUGGUCUGACGCUGAGGCGCGAAAGCGUGGGGAGCGAACAGG
rnacentral:rRNA from 1 species